GGGAGUCAGAGAAGACAACAGCGAAGGAGCUGAGCUCAAUAGAGAGAAGCAAAGCACCCCAGUUGAGCUAAAAAAUUUUGUGCACUGUUUAGUAGCAGAGGCUACCCAAGAAUGUCGACCGGCCGUUGAACAGUUUGGCAGAGAAAAGCAAGGCAGAGAAGUAGUGGCAAAACUAAGUCAAAAUAAGAAAGGCAAAGUAGCUGCUUCUGAUCUAAGCCAAGAGAGAGCGACGGUCACAGAACCAAGCUGUGGUGAUAAGAUAGGCAUGUCCGCACCUAAGCCCGACCAAGGCGAAAGUUACAAAGUAGGUGACAUUGGCGUAGCAAAAUUAAAUAUUUCAAAGACAUCUGGGAUUGCUACAAAGACUUUGAAGGAUUGUUCGGGAGCCAUAGAACUGGAUCUGCUGGCAAAGACUACUGCUACAAGGCCUGCAUGCCUUAACUACCUGGAACGGCUGCCAGAUUCUGGGAACACAGUUGUGGAAUUAAAGGCAGGACUCGGACUGCCUGACCGGCUGUUUGAUACCGGGGCUGUCAUGACCCAGCCAGAGGCCAUGACUGCGUCUCUGGACACCCCCAAGGGAACAGGGAGACCGCCAGACAGCCCAGAGGAAAGCAUUGCUGGCACUGAGAGGUGGCUACUCAAGGCCAAGCAAGCAGAGGAUACCCCUGGGGAGGAAACCAGGCAAAGGAAAGAUGAACUAAGCCAGGAGUCUAGGCCUCAGGUAGAAAAACAGCGCUCCAUACCAGGCCAGGCCGAGCAUGAUGGGAUGGAGCUGGGAUCAAAGGCUGCAUUCAUGCAGGAGGAGGGUGCUCUAGACAGCCUCCCUGGCCAACCCCCUGAGUACAUAGAGAUGAGACCUGUAGCAUUACCCGUAGAAAGCAAGGAAGGUUCCCAGGGAUUCACAGAACAGAUGGAGGAUGUUGUGAAGCCC